UCCGGAGUAGCUCAGCUGGCAGAGCGGGUGACUGUUAAUCACUAGGUCGUGGGUUCGAAUCCCUCCUCCGGAGCCA
rnacentral:tRNA from 1 species